rnacentral:rRNA from 1 species
UUACCGAGUUUUCGGGCUUCGGCUCGACUCUCCCACCCUUUGUGAACGUACCUCUGUUGCUUUGGCGGCUCCGGCCGCCAAAGGACCUCCAAACUCCAGUCAGUAAACGCAGACGUCUGAUAAACAAGUUAAUAAACUAAAACUUUCAACAACGGAUCUCUUGGUUCUGGCAUCGAUGAAGAACGCAGCGAAAUGCGAUAAGUAAUGUGAAUUGCAGAAUUCAGUGAAUCAUCGAAUCUUUGAACGCACAUUGCGCCCCUUGGUAUUCCGGGGGGCAUGCCUGUUCGAGCGUCAUUACAACCCUCAAGCUCUGCUUGGAAUUGGGCACCGUCCUCACUGCGGACGCGCCUCAAAGACCUCGGCGGUGGCUGUUCAGCCCUCAAGCGUAGUAGAAUACACCUCGCUUUGGAGUGGUUGGCGUCGCCCGCCGGACGAACCUUCUGAACUUUUCUCAAGGUUGACCUCGGAUCAGGUAGGGAUACCCG